CCUACGGGCGACAGCAGUGGGGAAUAUUGCACAAUGGGGGAAACCCUGAUGCAGCGACGCCGCGUGAGGGAAGAAGUAAUUCGUUAUGUUAAGCUCUAUCAGCAGGGAAGAAAAUGACGGUACCUGUGUAAGAAGCCCCGGCUAACUACGUGCCAGCAGCCGCGGUAAUGCGUAGGGGGCAAGCGUUAUCCGGAUUUACUGGGUGUAAAGGGAGCGUAGACGGCAGUGCAAGUCUGGAGUGAAAGGCGGGGGCUCAACCCCCGGACUGCUCUUGAAACUGUACGGCUGGAGUGCAGGAGAGGUAAGUGGAAUUCCUAGUGUAGCGGUGAAAUGCGUAGAUAUUAGGAGGAACACCAGUGGCGAAGGCGGCUUACUGGACUGUAACUGACGUUGAGGCUCGAAAGCGUGGGGAGCAAACAGGAUUAGAUACCCUUGUAGUC
rnacentral:rRNA from 1 species